rnacentral:rRNA from 1 species
CCUACGGGAGGCUGCAGUGAGGAAUAUUGGUCAAUGGACGAGAGUCUGAACCAGCCAAGUAGCGUGAAGGAUGACUGCCCUAUGGGUUGUAAACUUCUUUUAUAUGGGAAUAAAACGUUCCACGUGUGGGAUUUUGUAUGUACCAUAUGAAUAAGGAUCGGCUAACUCCGUGCCAGCAGCCGCGGUAAUACGGAGGAUCCGAGCGUUAUCCGGAUUUAUUGGGUUUAAAGGGUGCGUAGGUGGAUUGUUAAGUCAGUUGUGAAAGUUUGCGGCUCAACCGUAAAAUUGCAGUUGAAACUGGCAGUCUUGAGUACAGUAGAGGUGGGCGGAAUUCGUGGUGUAGCGGUGAAAUGCUUAGAUAUCACGAAGAACUCCGAUUGCGAAGGCAGUUCACUAGACUGCAACUGACACUGAGGCUCGAAAGUGUGGGUAUCAAACAGGAUUAGAUACCCUUGUAGUC